AAUAAAAUUGUUGGGUCAUAUGAUAACUGUGUUUAACUUUUUGAGUAACUGCCAAAGUAUUUUCCAAAGUGGCUAUACCAUUUAUAAUCCCACCAGCAAU
rnacentral:pre_miRNA from 1 species